GGGCCCGCACAAGCGGUGGAGCAUGUGGUUUAAUUCGAUGCAACGCGAAGAACCUUACCUACUCUUGACAUCCAGAGAACUUUCCAGAGAUGGAUUGGUGCCUUCGGGAACUCUGAGACAGGUGCUGCAUGGCUGUCGUCAGCUCGUGUUGUGAAAUGUUGGGUUAAGUCCCGCAACGAGCGCAACCCUUAUCCUUGUUUGCCAGCGAGUAAUGUCGGGAACUCCAGGGAGACUGCCGGUGAUAAACCGGAGGAAGGUGGGGACGACGUCAAGUCAUCAUGGCCCUUACGAGUAGGGCUACACACGUGCUACAAUGGCGCAUACAGAGGGCAGCCAACUUGCGAGAGUGAGCGAAUCCCAAAAAGUGCGUCGUAGUCCGGAUCGGAGUCUGCAACUCGACUCCGUGAAGUCGGAAUCGCUAGUAAAGG
rnacentral:rRNA from 1 species